rnacentral:rRNA from 1 species
AGUGAACGCUGGCGGUAGGCCUAACACAUGCAAGUCGAACGGCAGCACAGGAGAGCUUGCUCUCUAGGUGGCGAGUGGCGGACGGGUGAGGAAUACAUCGGAAUCUGCCCAGUCGUGGGGGAUAACGUAGGGAAACUUACGCUAAUACCGCAUACGACCUUCGGGUGAAAGAGGGGGAUCGCAAGACCUCUCGCGAUUGGAUGAGCCGAUGUCGGAUUAGCUAGUUAGCGGGGUAAUGGCCCACCAAGGCGACGAUCCGUAGCUGGUCUGAGAGGAUGAUCAGCCACACUGGAACUGAGACACGGUCCAGACUCCUACGGGAGGCAGCAUUGGGGAAUAUUGGACAAUGGGCGCAAGCCUGAUCCAGCCAUACCGCGUGGGUGAAGAAGGCCUUCGGGUUGUAAAGCCCUUUUGUUGGGAAAGAAAUCUUUCAGGCUAAUACCCUGGGAGGAUGACGGUACCCAAAGAAUAAGCACCGGCUAACUUCGUG